AAGCUUAUCGUCCGCUGCAAGAUUGUCGUGGGUGUAAUAAUCUAGAGGAUGCGCACGCUUCCUCAGCUGCUGCUCUACACUACGAUCCAGAUCUCAAAGAUGUGAACAUAGUUGCCACAUACAGUGACCAUUAUGGCCAUAUACGGCUUGG